rnacentral:rRNA from 1 species
UACGUAGGGAGCAAGCGUUGUUCGGAUUUACUGGGCGUAAAGGGCGCGUAGGCGGCGCGGUAAGUCACUUGUGAAAUCUCUGAGCUUAACUCAGAACGGCCAAGUGAUACUGACAGUGCUAGGAGUGCAGGAAGGGGCAAUACGGGAAUUCUUGGUGGUAGCGGUGAAAUGCGUAGAUAUCAAGAGGAACACCUGAGGUGAAGACGGGUUGCUGGGCUGACACUGACGCUGAGUGCGCGAAAGCCAGGGGAGCAAACGGG